AGAAAUAUCACGAUUUUAUUGAACUGGCUGAUGAGGCUAUCUCCUCGUUUACGAAGGUCGUUGAUGGAAAAACAGUCCCCAUGUGGUCACGGGAAACAAUUGACGAGAUUGUAAUGGGCCAGGAUUCGACACGACAGCUACCACUAUGACAAACGCUUGCUUUCAAUUGGCCAGGAAUCCCGAUGUUCAGGAGGCUUUAUACAAGAGCAUUAUUAAGAAAAUGGAAAGCUACGAUGAAGUGUG